UUUUUAAUCAUGUUUCUGUUUUAUUUUAAUAUGUUUGGCUAAGUUCUUUAUUUGAUUCUAGGGUUUGUAAAUAGUUAAUUAGAGCAUCCCCAGCGCUCGUGUCGAGCGCUGGGUCGACGCGGGGCGAAGGGGGGUGUGCCGCACUGGAGACGCGGCGUGAUGCGAGGCGGCGUCGAAGGCAAGACGCAGGUCAUUGGCGGAUUUUGGCGAAAUAGUGCGCUACACGCGCCGAUUUAAUAAAAAAAUAAAUAAAUGAAGAGUGCGAAAAAAGAAGAAGAAAGAAAAAGAAGGAGUGCAACAAUGGGGGAAAGAUGAGAAAACAAAGGUGGGUUGAGGAAGAAGAGGGGAUUUCGUUUUUGGUUUUGCUUUUGAUUUUAAUUUUAAUUUUUGUUUUUGUUUUUUUUUUUUGUCUUUUAAAAUCCCAAUUUUUUAUUUUAUUUUUUAAAAUUUUCACCUAAUUUUUAAUUGUUGUAAUAUUUUUAAUUUUAAAAUUCUAUAUUUUAUUUUAACUUUUCACGUGCAUUAUUUUACACAACAUGAUCAUCGAAGACGAAGAGGGUGGGUUGGUCUCGUU
rnacentral:lncRNA from 1 species